UAUAUAUUAUAAAUAAUAUAUAAACAAAAGUAUUUUAAAGGGGUUAUUAAGGAAAACUAAGGCAAAUUUAUAAAAAAGGAGGUAAAAUACCAAAUGCUUCAAGAAAUAAAAAAUAUUUUCUAAUAUGAAAAAAAGCGGUCCUAAGGUAAACCUUGUUUAAAAAUUACUUCCCGAAGUAAAACAUUUUAUUAGGGAAAGGAAAGGAAAUCAACCGAGACUCUGAAAGUAAUGGUGAGUGAAAUCAGAUUAGCCUAGAUUAAAAUUAUAAAUUGAAUAACUUAAACAUCUUUAUUAAAAGUGGGUAUUUUGAUUUAUCAAUAGAAACUACUUAUUUUAAUUAUGUAUUAGUUAGCAUAUUUUGUUUUUUAUUUGUUGGUUUGUUCAAUUAAUAAAAACAAAUUUUGCUCUAAAGAAGGUCACUGAUUACUCUAAGUCCUGUAGAUUUAUAAUUUUAAUUGCGGAAAUUAAUUAGAAUUUUACCAUAAAAAAUAUUAAAAUAGAAUUUAAAAAUUAAUUUGUUAAGUUAUCCAUUUAAAUCUCUAUUUAGCCUUUUUAUGGCCUCUAAUUAUAAUUCUCUAUAAAGUAUGAUGGGAGUAAACUUGUCAGAACAUAGGGGAACCAUCCUCUAAGGCUAAGUAUUAUAAAUUUAGCGAUAGUGAAUAAGUACUGUAAAGGAAAAGUUUGAAAAGCGAGUGGUAUACAAAAAGUGAUUUUUUAAUUAAAUAAUAGGUUUUUAAAUAUUAAUAUUAAUCUCUUUACAACUAAUUUUUAAUCCUUAAAUGGAACUCAAAUAAAUUUUAUACACUAAAAUUAAAAACUAAAAUUAAAAAUGAAUCGAUGAAAUAGAUCAUGAAUUAGUAACUCUAUAAGCAGUCGAAAUUCUAUUUAAAAAUUAAACAAAUAAAGAAUGACGGCGUACCUUUUGCAUAAUGGGUCAGCAAGUUAAUAGGAGUAGCAAGGUUUAAAGCCCUAGCGAAAGCGACUGGACUAUAAUUAUAAAUAAUAAUAAUAAUAAAUAUAGUGAUGGAUAAGUUACUUCUAUUAGACCCGAAGCCAGGUGAUCUUACCAAGACCAGAUUAUAAUGGAUCGAACGGGUGAAUGUUGCAUAAUUCUCCGAUGAGUCUUGGUAAGCGGUGAAAUGCCAAUCUGACCUGGUGCUAGCUGGUUUUCUACCGAAACAUAUUUAAGUAUGAUGUCUACACAAAAUUUAUGGAGGUACAGCAAGGCAAUUCCCAACAAGUUUAAGAUGGUGAUUUCUAUUUUCACUUCAAUCUUUUAGGCGUUUAGGUUGUGGGGACCUCGGAAAUCUUACCUUUGGAAGCGAAUCUCGGAAUUACAUAAAUUGAUGGUAGAUAUUCAGACUACUCAUGCUAAGUUGGGUAGUCAAGACGGAAACAGCCGAGAACACUGAUCAAGGUCCCAAAUGAUUGUUAAGUGAAAUUAAGGAUGUAGCAAUAUCGUAUACAGCUGUGAAGUGAGCCUGGUAGUCGCUACUUAUAAUGAUCGUACGUAACAACGCAUCAGCAGUCUAGAUAGUAGCACCGAAAAUUUAACGGGUCUUAAACAAUCAACCGAUAUCGUGUUGAUUAGGAAUAAAAAAUUCAUAUUUAAUCUAAAAUUUAUAACUUAUAUCUAAUCUUAUUAAACUUUAUUCUUAAUCUAGGUAGUAGAACAUUCAGUCUAACUAAUAAUAAAAUAGUGUUUCAUUGUUUUUUAGGUUACUGAAGAGAGAAUGCUGACAUGAGUAACGUAAAAAGAAGUUAUAAUACUUCUCGCCGAAUACAAAAGGGUUACAAAUUGGAAAGGUUAAUCCGUUUUGUGUGAAUGCGGCCUCUAAGGACCAAAACCAAAGUUUUGGCUGAUGAGUAUAUAAUAGAAAGACCAUUGAUUUUUAUUAAUGGUCCAAGAAAAUAAUAUUAUAAAUAAUUUAAUUUAAUAUAUCCUUCUUUAUUAAGAUCUUUAAAUAAAACCAAUCUUCUAACAUCUAAAUUUAAUCUCUGUCUCCAUUAGUGUCUAGAUAGUAAUAGUUGAAGAAUUUGUGGGUAUUUAUUUUGGGUUAAUAGUUUUUAAUUUAUUUUUGAUAAGUUAUUAGCAUUAAUUUAUUUAUUUAUUUAUUUAUUUUUAUGUUUUUACUAUUCUAAUUGGUAAUUAGAUAUAAAUGGAAAAAUUAUAUUGUGAAUUUGUAGAUUAAUUUAAAGAAUGUUAUAUUAAAAUUAUUAUUUGUAUUUUAUAUUUAUUAUAAUUUGGCUGAAUAGCCACACAAUUUUUAGAAAUUAAAAAUAAAAUCUUUAAAAAGUUAAAGGUUAAUUUAACAUAUUAAUCGCUGCAAAUAUCUUUAUCUGUUUAAUUAUAGUUGGGAUUAUGUAGUGCUAAUGUCACUCUACAAAUCUAUAUUGGAUCUAAUUAAAAAAGAUCUUUUUCUAAAUUAUUAGUAAAAUUCAGUUUAGAGUAUAGUCAUGAUUUAUGAUUAAAUUGAGGUUUUUCUUUAUAAUUUGUCACAACCUAAUGGUUAAUCUAAAUUUUCACACUAAAGAUUUAGUUUUGGAUUAGAACUGGUAUGAGCUAUUUGGAAAAGAUUUAUUACUUUUGUUAAUAAAUUAAAGUCUAGUUUUCAUUCUUUUUAAGGAUAAGGUUAGAUUUUCCUUCUUCCCUAUUUGGAGUAUAUUAGGUAAUUAAUAUCUAGUUCUGUUGUUUUAAUUAAUGACAGUUAAAAUACUAGAAAAAAUAAUCAAAUUAGUUAUUAAUAUCAGAAAAAGAUAAAAGAGACUAUCCGGUUUUCUUAAGCUCUGAUUUCUAAAAUUAGAGUAUUUCUAACUAAUUUAAAUACAUUUAUUUAUUUUAAAUUUUAAUCUCUAUCAAAAAUAGAUGGAAAGAUAGCCAAUUUAUUUGUUUUAGUUUAUAUUUAUUCUUUUUUAUAAGUUAUUUUAACUUAACUAUUUAAAAAAAAAAAUUAACUUUAUUUUGCUAAAAUUAUAAGAAAAUUUAAAUAUAACUUUAAUUAUUGUCAUUUAACAUUUAAAUAGGGUUUUAUGAACUAAAAAUUAAAAAUUCAUAAAAAAAAUAAAAUGGUUGUAUCUAACCGUUUAGUUGUGUAGAUGAAAUAUUUAUUUGAAUAUUAAGAAAAAUUAUUUAAAUAUAAUCUAUAUAACUACCGUACCCAUAACCGACACAGGUUUGUAGGUAGAGAAUACUAAGGCGUAGAGCUAAAAGUUGUUAAGGAACUCGGCAAGUUCACCUCAUAAGUUUGACGAAAAGAGGGACCACAAAUAUAAUUACAAAAAUUAAUAGUCCGGAUUGUUAAAUUAAUUGUAUAAGGUGGUGACACAAAAUCGGAGGCCCCGACUGUUUACUAAAAACACAACACAGUGCAAUCAUUAAUAUGAUAGUAUACUGUGUGAAAUUUGCCCGAUGCCAUUAAUAUAAGUGCGGUCAUGGGUAACUGUGACUAAUCGAAAAUCUGGUUAAUAGCGGUCUUAACUAUGAGGAUCCUAAGGUAGCAAAAUCAGUUGGCCAUUAAAUGUGGUCCGGUAUCAAUAAUGUAACGAUGGCCUCACUGUCUCUACAACUUGCUCAGUGAAAUUGAAUUACACGUGCAGAUGCGUGUUGCCUCCAGGGGGACGGGAAGACCCUAUGCAGCUUUACUGUAGUUAGUUAUCAUAUGAAUCUAGAACAAUCUUAGUUAAUAGAAAAUAGGGAAGUCGAGAGACAAAUUCUGGAAACCUUAUAAUUAAGGUUGGGUUUAUGUUUACCUUAUAAUUAAAAAAAAAAGGGAGAGUUGACUAAUUGGCAGUUUGACUGGGGCGGUCGUCUUUAAUAGAGUAGCAAAGUACAUCCAAAUAUUUACUUAAAUAUAAGGUUUUAGACCUUAUUUAAAUUUUCAACUGUAGAGAGAAGGUUAACAAAGAAUAAUAAUUAAUGUAAUAGUUGGUUAUUAAACAUUGAAGACUUUUUUGAAGGCUGGAAAUUAUAACAAAUAACUUUUUCUCUUUCUUUUUAAUAUUAAAAUUUAAUUACAAAGAGAAAAGUAAUAAUUAAUAGAAUAAAAAUAAAAACAAUCAAAACAAACAAACAAAAUAAUAAAAAAAAAUAUAAUAUAAUAUAAAUAAAAAAUGAAAAUUCAAUCUAAUCUAUUAAAGAUAUUAACUAAUAAGAAAUUAUAUUUUAAAUAAAAAAAUAAACAACAAAUCAUUUUGUUAAUUAAAAAAUCAAAUAAAAACUUUCUCUUUAGCUAGUUCUCGGCUCCCCACUUGCCUUAGCUUGAGGGGAUUGUUUUAUAUCUUCUGGUCAUUAAUUUGGCAAAAUUGCGAAAUUUGCAUUAGAAGAGUGAAAAGUUUAGGCCUUUAUUGGCUGCCGUGAAAUUAGUGACCCCUUACUACCUCAGUAUCUUUAAGUUAGUUAGUAACUUAGAGCUAUAAUCUUUGAGGAUUUGUGAAAACAAAAUAGGUAAGGGAAAAGAGUUUGGCUAAAAAUAAAAAUACAAUAAAAAAUUUUAAAAGGUAUAGCUAGAUAUUGAAUGGAGAUCAAUUAACCAGUGAAGGGUUACGCAGAGUUCAAUGGCGGUAAGCAUGCUUAACUGAAAGACCUAAAAGUCACACAGAUACGUAAGUAGGGCAUAGUGACCCCUCGCUAUAAUAUGGGAUAGACGGGGAUCAAUUAAUAAAAGUUACGCUAGGGAUAACAGGCUGAUAGCCGACGAGAGUACACAUUGUCUCGGCUGUUUGGCACCUCGAUGUCGACUCAUCCUAUCCUCCGGGGGAAGAAGCUUGGAAGGGUUCGGCUGUUCGCCGAUUAAAAGGGUACGUGAGUUGGGUUAAUACGACGUGAGUCAGUAUGGUCCCUAUCUUCUGGAGGGACAAGUAGUAAAAAGGGGCAGACCUUCUAGUACGAAAGGAUCAAUAGGCUGUGUUUCUCUAGUGUACCAAUUGUUUGUACUUUUUUGUAAGGGACUCAAAGUAUCUUGAAGGCAAAAGUAAAGAAAAAUGGGGAAAAUCCUUUUUUAACUUUUUAAUUAAAGUUUACUCUUAAUAGUUUAAAAAUUAUUGAGAAAAAAGGUAACAAGAUCAGAAAGCAUAGUUGGGUAGCCACAAACAUAAUAGAUAAGUGCUGAAUGUCUAUAAAGCAAGAAUCUAACCCCUAGAUACUAAAAAAUGAUUAAUUACCUAAUUUAUAGUCUUGAUAAGAGACUCUAAAACAAGGUAAUAAAUAAUCAUUAAUUAAGAAAUAGAACAUUUCUAGAUAGGCUGCAAAUGA
rnacentral:rRNA from 1 species